rnacentral:rRNA from 1 species
UACGUAGGGCGCAAGCGUUGUCCGGAAUUAUUGGGCGUAAAGAGCUCGUAGGUGGCUUGUUGCGUCUGCCGUGAAAGCCCGUGGCUUAACUACGGGUCUGCGGUGGAUACGGGCAGGCUAGAGGCUGGUAGGGGCAAGCGGAAUUCCUGGUGUAGCGGUGAAAUGCGCAGAUAUCAGGAGGAACACCGGUGGCGAAGGCGGCUUGCUGGGCCUUACCUGACGCUGAGGAGCGAAAGCGUGGGGAGCGAACAGG